GAUGGACCUCGCGGUGCAUUAGCUAGUUGGUGAGGUAACGGCUCACCAAGGCCGUGAUGCAUAGCCGACCUGAGAGGGUGAUCGGCCACAUUGGGACUGAGACACGGCCCAGACUCCUACGGGAGGCAGCAGUAGGGAAUCUUCCGCAAUGGGCGAAAGCCUGACGGAGCAACGCCGCGUGAGUGAAGAAGGAUUUCGGUUCGUAAAGCUCUGUUUUUAGGGAAGAAUGGAUAUGUAGUAACUAUACAUAUAAGAGACGGUAUCUAACCAGAAAGCCACGGCUAACUACGUGCCAGCAGCCGCGGUAAUACGUAGGUGGCAAGCGUUGUCCGGAAUUAUUGGGCGUAAAGCGCGCGCAGGUGGUUUAAUAAGUCUGAUGUGAAAGCCCUCUGGCUCAACCGUGGAGGGUCAUUGGAAACUGUUAAACUUGAGUGCAGGAGAGAAAAGUGGAAUUCAUAGUGUAGCGGUGAAAUGCGUAGAGAUUAGGAGGAACACCAGUGGGGAAGGCGGUUUUUUGGCCUGUAACUGACAUUGAGGUGGGAAAGCGUGGGGAGCAAACAGGAUUAGUUACCUUGGUAUUCCACCCCGUAAACGAUGAGUUGAUAAGUGUUGGUUUCAUAAGAGAUCAGUGCUGCAGCUCACGCAUUAAGCACUCCGCCUGGGGAGUACGACCGCAAGGUUGAAACUCAAAGGAAUUGACGGGGACCCGCACAAGCGGUGGAGCAUGUGGUUUAAUUUGAAGCAACGCGAAGAACCUUACCAAGUCUUGACAUACCGUGAGGACACAAGAGAGUGUGUUUUUGUGACCUAUGGUUAGACACAGAUACAGGUGGUGCAUGGUUGUCGUCAGCUAGUGUCGUGAGAUGUUGGGUUAAGUCCCGCCACGAGCGCAACCCUUAUAUGUAGUUGCCAGCAGUAAGAUGGGGACUCUAGAUCGCCUGCCAGUGAUAACAUGGACGGAAGCUGGGGAUGACGUCACAUCAUCACGCCCCUUACGAAUUGGGCUCCACACGUGCUACAAUGGAUAGGAACAAAGAGAAGCGAGCUCGCGAGAGUCAGCCACCCUCAUAAAGCUAUUGUCAGUUUGGACCGUAGUCUGCUCCUCGGGUGCAGCAAGCUGGAAUCUCUAGUAAUCGCGAAUCAGAAUGUGGCGGUGAAUACGUUCCCGGGUUGAGCACACACCGCCCUUCA
rnacentral:rRNA from 1 species